AUUGAACGCUGGCGGCAGGCCUAACACAUGCAAGUCGAGCGGAUGAAGGGAGCUUGCUCCUGGAUUCAGCGGCGGACGGGUGAGUAAUGCCUAGGAAUCUGCCUGGUAGUGGGGGAUAACGUCCGGAAACGGGCGCUAAUACCGCAUACGUCCUGAGGGAGAAAGUGGGGGAUCUUCGGACCUCACGCUAUCAGAUGAGCCUAGGUCGGAUUAGCUAGUUGGUGGGGUAAAGGCCUACCAAGGCGACGAUCCGUAACUGGUCUGAGAGGAUGAUCAGUCACACUGGGACUGAGACACGGUCCAGACUCCUACGGGAGGCAGCAUUGGGGAAUAUUGGACGCUGGGCGAAAGCCUGAUCCAGCCAUGCCGCGUGUGUGAAGAAGUUCUUCGGAUUGUAAAGCACUUUAAGUUGGGAGGAAGGGUAGUAAUUUAAUACCUUGCUGUUUUGACGUUACCAACAGAAUAAGCACCGGCUAACUUCGUG
rnacentral:rRNA from 1 species